GGAAUAUUGGACAAUGGGCGCAAGCCUGAUCCAGCCAUGCCGCGUGAGUGAUGAAGGCCCUAGGGUUGUAAAGCUCUUUCGGCGGGGAAGAUAAUGACGGUACCCGCAGAAGAAGCCCCGGCUAACUUCGUGCCAGCAGCCGCGGUAAUACGAAGGGGGCUAGCGUUGCUCGGAAUCACUGGGCGUAAAGCGCACGUAGGCGGAUCUUUAAGUCGGGGGUGAAAUCCCGGAGCUCAACUCCGGAACUGCCUUCGAUACUGGGGAUCUUGAGUCCGGGAGAGGUGAGUGGAACUGCGAGUGUAGAGGUGAAAUUCGUAGAUAUUCGCAAGAACACCAGUGGCGAAGGCGGCUCACUGGCCCGGUACUGACGCGGAGGUGCGAAAGCUAGGGUAGCAAAC
rnacentral:rRNA from 1 species